CUCAGGAUGAACGCUGGCGGCGUGCUUAACACAUGCAAGUCGAACGGUGAAGCCCAGCUUGCUGGGUGGAUCAGUGGCGAACGGGUGAGUAACACGUGAGCAAUCUGCCCUUGACUCUGGGAUAAGCGCUGGAAACGGCGUCUAAUACUGGAUAUGAGCUGCGGCCGCAUGGUCGGCAGUUGGAAAGAAUUUCGGUCAAGGAUGAGCUCGCGGCCUAUCAGCUUGUUGGUGAGGUAAUGGCUCACCAAGGCGUCGACGGGUAGCCGGCCUGAGAGGGUGACCGGCCACACUGGGACUGAGACACGGCCCAGACUCCUACGGGAGGCAGCAGUGGGGAAUAUUGCACAAUGGGCGCAAGCCUGAUGCAGCAACGCCGCGUGAGGGAUGACGGCCUUCGGGUUGUAAACCUCUUUUAGCAGGGAAGAAGCGAAAGUGACGGUACCUGCAGAAAAAGCACCGGCUAACUACGUGCCAGCAGCCGCGGUAAUACGUAGGGUGCAAGCGUUAUCCGGAAUUAUUGGGCGUAAAGAGCUCGUAGGCGGUUUGUCGCGUCUGCUGUGAAAUCUGGGGGCUCAACCCCCAGCCUGCAGUGGGUACGGGCAGACUAGAGUGCGGUAGGGGAGAUUGGAAUUCCUGGUGUAGCGGUGGAAUGCGCAGAUAUCAGGAGGAACACCGAUGGCGAAGGCAGAUCUCUGGGCCGUAACUGACGCUGAGGAGCGAAAGGGUGGGGAGCAAACAGGCUUAGAUACCCUGGUAGUCCACCCCGUAAACGUUGGGAACUAGUUGUGGGGUCCAUUCCACGGAUUCCGUGACGCAGCUAACGCAUUAA
rnacentral:rRNA from 1 species